rnacentral:rRNA from 1 species
AGAACGAACGCUGGCGGCAUGCCUAAUACAUGCAAGUCGAACGAACACUUCGGUGUUAGUGGCGCACGGGUGCGUAACGCGUGGGAAUCUGCCCUUGGGUUCGGAACAACAGUUGGAAACGACUGCUAAUACCGGAUGAUGACGAAAGUCCAAAGAUUUAUCGCCCAGGGAUGAGCCCGCGUAGGAUUAGCUAGUUGGUGAGGUAAAGGCUCACCAAGGCGACGAUCCUUAGCUGGUCUGAGAGGAUGAUCAGCCACACUGGGACUGAGACACGGCCCAGACUCCUACGGGAGCAGCAGUAGGGAAUAUUGGACAAUGGGCGACAAACCUGAUCC